rnacentral:rRNA from 1 species
UACGAAGGGGGCUAGCGUUGCUCGGAAUCACUGGGCGUAAAGCGCACGUAGGCGGCUCUUUAAGUCGGGGGUGAAAUCCUGGAGCUCAACUCCAGAACUGCCUUCGAUACUGGAGAGCUCGAGUCCGGGAGAGGUGAGUGGAACUGCGAGUGUAGAGGUGAAAUUCGUAGAUAUUCGCAAGAACACCAGUGGCGAAGGCGGCUCACUGGCCCGGUACUGACGCUGAGGUGCGAAAGCGUGGGGAGCAAACAGG